CAGCCGCCGCGGGAAUACGGAGGGUGCAAGCGUUAUCCGGAUUUAUUGGGUUUAAAGGGUCCGUAGGCGGACUUAUAAGUCAGUGGUGAAAGCCUGUCGCUUAACGAUAGAACUGCCAUUGAUACUGUAAGUCUUGAGUAUAUUUGAGGUAGCUGGAAUAAGUAGUGUAGCGGUGAAAUGCAUAGAUAUUACUUAGAACACCAAUUGCGAAGGCAGGUUACCAAGAUAUAACUGACGCUAAGGGACGAAAGCGUGGGUAGCGAACAGGAUUAGAUACCCCGGUAGUCCCUGUCUCUUAUAC
rnacentral:rRNA from 1 species